UACGGAGGAUCCAAGCGUUGUCCGGAUUUAUUGGGUUUAAAGGGUGCGUAGGCGGAUAAUUAAGUCAGUGGUGAAAGCCUUCAGCUUAACUGAAGAAUUGCCAUUGAAACUGAUUAUCUUGAAUGCGGUUGAGGCAGAUGGAAUGUAUCAUGUAGCGGUGAAAUGCUUAGAUAUGAUACAGAACACCGAUUGCGAAGGCAGUCUGCUAAGCCGUGAUUGACGCUGAGGCACGAAAGCGUGGGUAGCAAACAGG
rnacentral:rRNA from 1 species